GACGAACGCUGGCGGCGUGCUUAACACAUGCAAGUCGAGCGGUAAGGCCCUUUCGGGGGUACACGAGCGGCGAACGGGUGAGUAACACGUGGGUGACCUGCCCUCAGCUCUGGGAUAAGCCUGGGAAACCGGGUCUAAUACUGGAUAUGACUCCAUGACGCAUGUUGUGGGGUGGAAAGCCUUGUGCGGCUGAGGAUGGGCCCGCGGCCUAUCAGCUUGUUGGUGGGGAACGGCCUACCAAGGCGACGACGGGUAGCCGGCCUGAGAGGGCGACCGGCCACACUGGGACUGAGACACGGCCCAGACUCCUACGGGAGGCAGCAGUGGGGAAUAUUGCGCAAUGGGCGAAAGCCUGACGCAGCGACGCCGCGUGAGGGAUGAAGGCCUCGGUCGUAA
rnacentral:rRNA from 1 species